AUUGAACGCUAGCGGGAUGCUUUACACAUGCAAGUCGAACGGCAGCGCGGACUUCGGUCUGGCGGCGAGUGGCGAACGGGUGAGUAAUGUAUCGGAACGUGCCCAGUAGCGGGGGAUAACUACGCGAAAGCGUAGCUAAUACCGCAUACGCCCUACGGGGGAAAGCAGGGGAUCGUAAGACCUUGCACUAUUGGAGCGGCCGAUAUCGGAUUAGCUAGUUGGUGAGGUAACGGCUCACCAAGGCGACGAUCCGUAGCUGGUUUGAGAGGACGACCAGCCACACUGGGACUGAGACACGGCCCAGACUCCUACGGGAGGCAGCAGUGGGGAAUUUUGGACAAUGGGGGCAACCCAGAUCCAGCCAUCCCGCGUGUGCGAUGAAGGCCUUCGGGUUGUAAAGCACUUUUGGCAGGAAAGAAACGUCGCGGGCUAAUACCCCGUGGAACUGACGGUACCUGCAGAAUAAGCACCGGCUAACUACGUG
rnacentral:rRNA from 1 species